GUAAGAUUUUGUUCCCAGCAUGGCGACGGCAUGUUACGUAUGUGUAACAAGCGCGAAACGUUGUCCAGUCACAAUGAACAAACCUUCUUGACAUCAAAGUGUCUCCUAAACACUUACAUUCGAGAUAAAGUCAUUUAUAUACUAGCACGUGGAAACGUUUAUAUCGAAAGUUUUCCACCAGAGAGGCCUGUCUGGCUGACGUGAGAUAAAAGAGACGAGGUCUAUUUAAUGAGUAGGUCAUUGCAGGGCGGAGGAUUAAUUCCAUCAUUCAACUCGGGUUUUCCUCGUCCGUCCUUAGUUUGUUAUAUAUUAUCGUAGUUAUAACUACACUAUGCAGACAAACGUAUUGGGAGACACCUCUUUAUUAUUGAAUUCAGGUGUGGGAUGGGGCUGUUUUUCAAGGUUCAGGCAAGGCCCCUUUCUUGUGGCAGUGAAGGGAAAUCUUAAUGCUUCAGUGCGCCUUCGCCAUCCUGUGAAAAAAAGUGCCCUAAACGACGCUCUGACAUAUCAGUUAUCAUAGCUCAGCUACAUCAUCGGAAAUAAGGAAGUGUUUUGAGAUACCAGUGAGUGGAACAGCAGCCGAAACGGUAAACAAGACUGAAAAUCAACAUAUCAUUCUUUAUCAUAACACCCCACUAUGGUUGAGUGGCAGCUCUGCACUCUUGAGCACCUGAUGAAUUCAAGGUUUGGCCGUCCUUUUCCACGACACGGCCUUCAGCUACUGUAUUGGUUUGCUAACUGCUGUGUGACCUUUGAAAUGAUUAACUUUGUGGUCAUCAUGAAGCUGGUGUCAGAUUGUCAACCAGAGAACGGUUUCUAUGGCUUCCACUCUUUUGGUAAUAUUGAGGAGCUUCUGCCUGUGCUGGACAGGCCCAGGAGACGCAAAGCAAAGAGAAAGCUUGGUCUUGGAGAAUACAAAAUUAUAACAGAUGCUGCUAGACUGGGGCUGUGGAGUAUCGAAGACACCAUUCAGAUUGUCUCAGGAAGAGUUACUAUCCGGUCGUAACAUGGAAAGUGUUUUUGGAUCCUGACCCUCACUAGUUGAGUAUUAUGAGGUUGGCAACCUGAACACAGAAACCUACCCAUCUGCUGCAAACCUCCCGACAUUUGUAAGGGAAAAUUAUGAUUUGCAUGGUAACCGUGGUAAAUACAAUACAGAUCGCAUCAUCAUCAGUUACCAGAUGACAGCCAAUGUGGUGGAGACGGUGUAUAUCACAGAGCAUGAUGGAGCAGGCUUUGGGAGGUUCAGUCCUGACGGGACUUAUGAAAUCAGCCCUGAACUGAUUCAAGCACUGCAGAGCCCGCACUUAGAUCUCACCACUUUUCUCACCCAAAUGGGCUACUAUGGUGAUAUUCAAAUUGUUCAGGCUAAUGACAUAGAUGAGAUAGGUUACCCAGAACUAUCAGUCAACCAGAUGUUCAACACUGUGCAGACCUACAGUGGAUCUACAACAAGGACGGCACAAAUAGAUGACUUCCUAAAUGCUUUCAAAGAACAACUAUGGACCAAUGCAGAGCCCUUCAACUACGACCAGCAACUGCACUACAUUGUCAACGUAACCUCACACAGCAACUACGGUGAAGUGCAACAUAAGCACAGGAAGCCUAAAGCUACCAAGAGACCAAGAGCUUUGAGACAAAGUUACUGGCCAUCUGCGUGGGAACAGAUUAGUGAAGGUUAUAAUAAACAAGUCACCAGAGGUGGUGGUGGUGGUGGUGGUGGUGGCGGCUUCAGCUUCUUCAAGAUUUUGCUCAGUGCUGGAGCGCUCUACUUGGCAGCCAAAUGUUUUAGCUGGCUGGCUAGCUGGUGGAAGGUGAACUUGAAUGAAAACACCCUCAAGAUGAUCCCAUGGAGGACUCCAAGUUAUCGGCACACACAUAUCAUGCUGGAUUACGUGUACUAGGAUUUGAAGGUGUAGACUAUUGUAAUGAUAUCAUGUAUUAGAAUCCAGAUAUUCUGUAAAAUGAAUUACUUCAUAUGUGAUUUGUGAUAAAAUGAUUUGCACUGAAAGCCCUGCUUGGAGGUAGACAGUCAAAUUAUAAUAUUCCACAUUGGAUUUUUGAUACUAUUUUCCAUGCUGUGCUGGAGUCAAAUGCAUUGUAAUUUUUUUUUUUGUAAUGAUCUUGUAAAUAUCCUAACUUCAAUUUUUGGGAGACAAGUCAACUAAGGCUGUUAUAGGUUGUGAUGAUGAUGAUAAAAACUGACUGAACUGAGAUCAGAGCAAUGAUAGAAAUUCCAUAAGUAUUUUUAGUACAAAAUACAAAAACAUUACCAAAAAAAGCCACCGAACAAGGACUGUGCAUUUAGUCCCCCAUCACUUGCAAUGAAAGAGCAUUAUAAGAUAAGAUUAGAUAAGCUAGGCCUUUAUUAGAUGAAUGUUUUAGCCAGUAUGAUCAGGAAGAAUAUUACAAUAAGCAGAACCUGUUUCAGUGUUCAUUUGGGGACCUGAUUAUAAAUGUGACAGAUCUGAAAAAUUGAGAACUCAAGGGGGAAUGCUGGGCGCUCUGUAUUUACAGUUUAAUUAAAGAGUUUGGUCUAGACCUGCUCAAAUUGGAAAGUGUCAUGAGAUAACUUUUGUUGUGAAUUGGAGCUAUAUAAAUAAACUGAAUUGAAUUGAAAUACCAACUACUAAUUAAAUGGCACAACAUAAACUUUGUUGUGUAGACUAUA